CAGGCUUAACACAUGCAAGUCGAGGGGCAGCAUGGUCUUAGCUUGCUAAGGCCGAUGGCGACCGGCGCACGGGUGAGUAACACGUAUCCAACCUGCCGUCUACUCUUGGACAGCCUUCUGAAAGGAAGAUUAAUACAAGAUGGCAUCAUGAGUCCGCAUGUUCACAUGAUUAAAGGUAUUCCGGUAGACGAUGGGGAUGCGUUCCAUUAGAUAGUAGGCGGGGUAACGGCCCACCUAGUCUUCGAUGGAUAGGGGUUCUGAGAGGAAGGUCCCCCACAUUGGAACUGAGACACGGUCCAAACUCCUACGGGAGGCAGCAGUGAGGAAUAUUGGUCAAUGGGCGCAGGCCUGAACCAGCCAAGUAGCGUGAAGGAUGACUGCCCUAUGGGUUGUAAACUUCUUUUAUAAAGGAAUAAAGUCGGGUAUGGAUACCCGUUUGCAUGUACUUUAUGAAUAAGGAUCGGCUAACUCCGUGCCAGCAGCCGCGGUAAUACGGAGGAUCCGAGCGUUAUCCGGAUUUAUUGGGUUUAAAGGGAGCGUAGAUGGAUGUUUAAGUCAGUUGUGAAAGUUUGCAGCUCAACCGUAAAAUUGCAGUUGAUACUGGAUAUCUUGAGUGCAGUUGAGGCAGGCGGAAUUCGUGGUGUAGCGGUGAAAUGCUUAGAUAUCACGAAGAACUCCGAUUGCGAAGGCAGCCUGCUAAGCUGCAACUGACAUUGAGGCUCGAAAGUGUGGGUAUCAAACAGGAUUAGAUACCCUGGUAGUCCACACGGUAAACGAUGAAUACUCGCUGUUUGCGAUAUACAGCAAGCGGCCAAGCGAAAGCGUUAAGUAUUCCACCUGGGGAGUACGCCGGCAACGGUGAAACUCAAAGGAAUUGACGGGGGCCCGCACAAGCGGAGGAACAUGUGGUUUAAUUCGAUGAUACGCGAGGAACCUUACCCGGGCUUAAAUUGCAGAUGAAUUACGGUGAAAGCCGUAAGCCGCAAGGCAUCUGUGAAGGUGCUGCAUGGUUGUCGUCAGCUCGUGCCGUGAGGUGUCGGCUUAAGUGCCAUAACGAGCGCAACCCUUGUUGUCAGUUACUAACAGGUUCCGCUGAGGACUCUGACAAGACUGCCAUCGUAAGAUGUGAGGAAGGUGGGGAUGACGUCAAAUCAGCACGGCCCUUACGUCCGGGGCUACACACGUGUUACAAUGGGGGGUACAGAGGGCCGCUACCACGCGAGUGGAUGCCAAUCCCCAAAACCUCUCUCAGUUCGGACUGGAGUCUGCAACCCGACUCCACGAAGCUGGAUUCGCUAGUAAUCGCGCAUCAGCCACGGCGCGGUGAAUACGUUCCCGGGCCUUGUACACACCGCCCGUCAAGCCAUGGGAGCCGGGGGUACCUGAAGUGCGUAACCGCGAGGAGCGCCCUAGGGUAAAACUGGUGACUG
rnacentral:rRNA from 1 species